UUUUGCUGUGAACAUUGUGUUCACAGGCUCAUUACGUGAGGUGAGGCCCACUGAAGCUAAGCAGGGCUGCGCCCGGUCAGUACCUGGAUGGGAGACCACAUGGAAAAGCUAGGUUGCUGCCAGAA
rnacentral:rRNA from 1 species